rnacentral:lncRNA from 1 species
CUCCCCCACCUCCGAUAGCAGAGCCUAGUUUCUCACAUCCUGUGGUCACCAUUGACGCUCAGAUCGCUGCACUUGUGCAGCAGAUGAAUAUUUUGACGAAGACGGUCAAAAGCCUCUAACAGCAGCAAACCCAACAGCAACAGCAGCCGCCAGCGGAACAACCGAUGGCACGGUCGGUGCCUUCUAGGCACAGCCUCCAUCCUCCACGACGAUCACCUUCUUCCUCUCCGGAGCGAUCGUCUUGACACUCCCAUCGAGACGGACGACUACAUUCUCGACACUUUCCCCAUGCCACCCACCACUCGUGGCGUUCUCCCUCUCCUUUCCAUCUCCACAGUAUUAGGAAGGGGAAAUGACCGCGGAUACCUUCUUCUUCUCCUUCAAACUCAUCGGGAGAUUCCACUCCCGGGGUCUCCCGAUAACGACAGUUGGACGACUAUGAAAGCA